rnacentral:tRNA from 1 species
GCCGAUGUAGCUCAGUGGUAGAGCAACUGAUUCGUAAUCAGUAGGCCGUCGGUUCAACUCCGAUCAUCGGCUCCA